rnacentral:lncRNA from 1 species
GAUGAUGAUGAAGCUGAGUUUGAUCCGGAGAAGCAAAGCUUAGUUUCGUCUCCAAAGGACUCAGAUGCCUGAUACAUGUUGUUUAGCAGGUACUCAGUUUUGUCCUUCUGUCUAGAACAGACACCUUUUUUUUUUUUUGCGGGAAUGUCUAGAACAGACACCGAGUCUUCAAAACUUGUUAUAACUAUGCAAUACAGACAAUUCAGGAUGUAUUUUGUUGGAUGGCACGCACUCACAUCACAAGUUACAUGUACACUAGAAUUAUUUUUGUUCCCAUCGUCUUAUUCCCGGUUGUUUAUGCAACUACUAUUGUGUUGUUUACUAGAAUCACCUGCCUUUUUCAUGAACAUGUAGUCGUUA